AGAGUUUGAUCCUGGCUCAGAUUGAACGCUGGCGGAAUGCUUUACACAUGCAAGUCGAGCGGCAGCGCGGGGGCAACCCUGGCGGCGAGCGGCGAACGGGUGAGUAAUGUAUCGGAACGUACCCUGUCGUGGGGGAUAACACAGCGAAAGCUGUGCUAAUACCGCAUACGACCUGAGGGUGAAAGCGGGGGAUCGCAAGACCUCGCGCGAUAGGAGCGGCCGAUAUCGGAUUAGCUUGUUGGUGAGGUAAAGGCUCACCAAGGCGACGAUCCGUAGCUGGUCUGAGAGGACGACCAGCCACACUGGAACUGAGACACGGUCCAGACUCCUACGGGAGGCAGCAGUGGGGAAUUUUGGACAAUGGGGGCAACCCUGAUCCAGCCAUUCCGCGUGAGUGAAGAAGGCCUUCGGGUUGUAAAGCUCUUUCAGCAGGAACGAAACGGUGGCUACUAAUACUAGCUACUAAUGACGGUACCUGAAGAAGAAGCACCGGCUAACUACGUGCCAGCAGCCGCGGUAAUACGUAGGGUGCGAGCGUUAAUCGGAAUUACUGGGCGUAAAGCGUGCGCAGGCGGUUAUGUAAGACAGGUGUGAAAUCCCCGGGCUUAACCUGGGAACUGCGCUUGUGACUGCAUAACUCGAGUGUGGCAGAGGGGGGUGGAAUUCCACGUGUAGCAGUGAAAUGCGUAGAGAUGUGGAGGAACACCGAUGGCGAAGGCAGCCCCCUGGGUCAACACUGACGCUCAUGCACGAAAGCGUGGGGAGCAAACAGGAUUAGAUACCCUGGUAGUCCACGCCCUAAACGAUGCGAACUAGGUGUUGGGGAAGGAGACUUUCUUAGUACCGCAGCUAACGCGUGAAGUUCGCCGCCUGGGGAGUACGGUCGCAAGAUUAAAACUCAAAGGAAUUGACGGGGACCCGCACAAGCGGUGGAUGAUGUGGAUUAAUUCGAUGCAACGCGAAGAACCUUACCUGGGUUUGACAUGUGGCUGGAUGCUGCGGGAAACCGCGGAGGCUUUCGAGGCUGCCACACAGGUGCUGCAUGGCUGUCGUCAGCUCGUGCCGUGAGGUGUUAGGUUAAGUCCUGCAACGAGCGCAACCCCUGUGGCUAGUUGCCAUCAAGUAAUGUUGGGCACUCUAGUCAGACUGCCUGUGAUAAGCAGGAGGAAGGUGGGGAUGACGUCAAGUCAGUAUGGUCCUUAUAUCCAGGGCUGCAAACGUGUUACAAUGGAGGGUACAGAGAGAUGCAAAGCCGCGAGGUAGAGCAAAUCCAAAAAACCCUCCCCAGUUCAGAUUGGAGUCUGCAACUCGACUCCAUGAAGCCGGAAUCGCUAGUAAUGGCGCAUCAGCUACGGCGCCGUGAAUACGUUCCCGGGCCUUGUACACACCGCCCGUCACAUCAUGAAAGCCGAUUGCAC
rnacentral:rRNA from 1 species